rnacentral:rRNA from 1 species
AUUGAACGCUGGCGGCAGGCCUAACACAUGCAAGUCGAGCGAGCGGCGGAGGGGAGAGUAAUACCUGGGAAUUGCCCAGUCGAGGGGUAUAACAGUUGAAAACUACUGAUAAUACCGCAUACGAUUGGAUUGCCCAGGUGGGUAUAGCUCGUUGGUGAGGUAAUGGCUCACAAAGGAGACGAUCCCGAGCGGGUCUGAGAGGAUGAUCAGCCACACUGGAACGGAGACACGGUCCAGACUCCUACGGGAGGCAGCAGUGGGGAAUAUUGGACAAGGGGCGAAACCCUGAUGCAGCCAUGCCGCGUGUGUGAAGAAGGCCUUCGGGUUGUAAAGCACUGUCAGCGAGGAGGCGUUACCCGCAGAAGAAGCACCGGCUAACUCCGUGCCAGCCGCCGCGGUAAUUC